CUUGGUCCCAAACCCGACAAUUUUGGUUGUUUACACACCCAUUGAGCCAGGAAUGGGUGUAAUGGGAAUUUUAGAUUUUGCUAAAUGGAAGGCGUGGUUGUAAACGGAUUACUCUCAUUUUCGGACUGUCGCUUAGCAACAUUAGAAGAGUGUUAUGUACCGAAUUUUAUUACAACAGUAAAGCAGUUACAGUUUGCAGAGACAGACGGACAGACACAUAAUCAAAGUAAUUUCAAUUCGUCCUUCGUCAUUUAUGUAUGUAUAUAUAACUCUAUAUCCAUCUCGAUUAGUUUUAGGUGUUACAAACAACCGGUGAUCAACAAUAUCCACGAUUAUAAAAAGAUUGUAACAUUAAAAGGCGAACUACUGAAAGUAUCAAUAAUUGACUAAUAUGCUUCUGAACAUAAACGUAGUCAAAAAGAAAUUGGCGACAUUGCUGGUGUGGCUGAUGUGACCAUAAGGCAAUCGUACAAAUUGAUGUAUCCACAUGCACUGAAGCUAUUUCCUGAGGAUUUCAAGUUCACUACGCCUAUUGAUCAACUACCACAGAUGUAGCUUUGUAGCUUAAACUAAUUAUUCGCUAUCACCAUUACUAUAAAUAAACAUAAAAUCUAUAAUUUGUAAUUUAAAAAUGA